UGUUCAGUUUUCCUCGGCAGUUAACUACCGAGGUUUUCUUCGACAGUUUUCUUCGGCAGUUAACUGUCGAGGAUCUU
rnacentral:pre_miRNA from 1 species